GUUAGAAGCGGUAUUGUCAGCUGCUGUCCAGGCAGGUUCUUUAGAACUUCUGACUGGAUGCAUUAAGCGUUGGACGUCUGAAGAGCAGCCAAGUUCUGCUGCUAAUUUACGGUUUGCUCUUGAGUGGACGUGGAAGGAAGUGAUCUAUACAAAAGACGAAUUGGACCAAACAUGUGUUCCGCUGUUUGAUGGCUCUUGCAACUUCAUUGACCCACAGACAUUGCAGUCUCUUCAGCACUGCCAGUUGCUUCUGAGCAAC